GCAUGGGUUUGGAUAUGUGGCAGGUCCGAUCCAUGGGCCUCUCACAGUGUCCCAUGCGAAAGCAGACUGUCGCCCCGAACCAUUGCCUGGCUUUACCCGUGGGCUUCAGGCACUGAAGCGGGUUGCACAGUG
ensembl:snoRNA